rnacentral:tRNA from 1 species
GAGCCCGUGGCUCAGUGGAUAGAGCGUUGGACUUCUAAUCAACAGGUUUCGGGUUCG